rnacentral:rRNA from 1 species
AUGGCCCCGAUUCCCAGCUCGUGUGGCGCGCUGCUUCUGCUCGUGCUCGCGCUCGUGGCCGCCGCUGUCGUUGUCGACGCCACGGCGCCCUCCCUGGCCCUGGCCGCCAGGCACGAGCGGUGGAUGGCCAAGUUCGGGCGCGCCUACACGGACGCCGACGAGAAAUCGCGCCGGCGGGAGGUGUUCGCGGCCAACGUGCAGCACGUCGACGCUGUCAACCGGGCGGGCAACUUGACGUACACGCUCGGGCUCAACCAGUUCUCCGACCUCACCGACGACGAGUUCCUGAAGACACACCUCGGGUACCGUCACCAGCUUCAUCCUGGGGGCAACACGACGCUGGCAGCGGUGAACGUGUCCAAGGCUGCCGCUAUGAGGAGUGGCCAGUUUCAGUACAUGCCGGACAACAUGGACUGGAGGGCCCAGGGCGCCGUCACCCAAGUCAAGAACCAACGCUUCUGCGGAAGUUGCUGGGCGUUCGCGGCGGUGGCGGCGACGGAGGGGCUGGUAAAGAUUAGCACCGGUAACCUCAUCUCCAUGUCGGAGCAACAAGUCCUCGACUGCACGGGCGGCGCCAACACCUGCAGCGGCGGGGACAUCAACGCCGCACUCCGCUAUGUGGCCGCCAGCGGUGGCCUACAGCCGGAGGCGGCGUACGCGUAUAGCGGCCAGCAGGGCGCGUGCCGCAGCGGCGGCGGCAGGCCAAACUCGGCCGCCUCUGUCGGCGCCCCACGGUGGGCGCGCCUAUAUGGCGACGAGGGCGCGUUGCAGUGGCUCGCGGCCAGCCAGCCAGUGGCCGUGGCCUUGGAGGCCACGGACCCAGACUUCCGGCACUACAGGAGCGGCGUGUACGCCGGCAGCUCGUCAUGCGGGCAGAGGCUCAACCACGCUGUGACGGUGGUCGGAUACGGGGCGGACGGCGGCGGGCAGGAGUACUGGGUGUUGAAGAACCAGCGGGGAACGGGGUGGGGCGAGAGGGGCUACAUGCGCAUCGCGCGCGGGAACGGCGCCAACUGCGGCAUCGCAACCUACGCCUACUAUCCGACCAUGGACAGCUAG